UACGUAGGUGGCAAGCGUUGUCCGGGUUUACUGGGUGUAAAGGGCGUGUAGCCGGGCUUACAAGUCAGAUGUGAAAUCCGGGGGCUCAACCCCCGAACUGCAUUUGAAACUGUAGGUCUUGAGUAUCGGAGAGGCAGGCGGAAUUCCUAGUGUAGCGGUGAAAUGCGUAGAUAUUAGGAGGAACACCAGUGGCGAAGGCGGCCUGCUGGACGACAACUGACGGUGAGGCGCGAAAGCGUGGGGAGCGAACAGG
rnacentral:rRNA from 1 species